GUCUGAUUAUGGCCUGAUUAAACGCUGGCGGGACAAGCCACACAUGCAAGUCGAACGGCAAAGUAUCGGACUUCGGUCUGGUGGCGAGUGGCGAACGGGUGAGUAAUGUAUCGGAACGUGCCUAGUAGCGGGGAUAACUACGCGAGUAGCUAUUACCGCAUACGCCCUCGGGGGAAAGCGGGGGACCUUCGGGCCCCGCACUAUUAGAGCGGCUGAUAUCGGAUUAGCUAGUUGGUGGGGUAACGGCUCACCAAGGCGACGAUCCGUAGCUGGUUUGAGAGGAUGACUCAGCCAUACCGACUGACAUGGCCCAGACUCCUACGGGAGGCAGCAGUGGGGGAAUUUUAAGGGCUGAAACUCCUGAUCCAGCCAUCUCAUGUGUGCGAUGAAGCGUCUGCCAGCACUUUUGGCAGGAAAGAAAACGGCACGGGAUAAUACCCCGUGCAACUGGCCGGUACCUGCAGAAUAAAGCGUUCACAACUACGCCAGCAGCCGCGGUAAUACGUAGGCAAAAGCGUUAAUCGGAAUUAUCGGGCGUAAAGCGUGCGCAGGCGGUCUGGAAAGAAAGAUGUGAAAUCCCAGAGCUUAACUUUGGAACUGUAUUCUUAACUACCGAGCUAGAGGUGUCGAGAGCGGACAAUUCGCGCGGCAGCGAAAUGCGUAGAUAUGCGGAGGAACACCUGAUGACGAAGGCAGCCUCCUGGAUAACACUGACGUCAUACCAGCGGUGGGAGCCAAAACAGGAUUAGAUCUCUGAAACCACGCCCAAACGAUGUCAACUAGCUGUUGGGGCCUUCGGGCCUUGUAGCGCAGCGACCAGCAGGAAGUUGACCGCCUGUGUAUUAUUGGCUCGAUUAAACCCAAAGGAAUUGACGGGAUCCGCACAAGCGGUGGAUGAUGUGGAUUAAUCGAUGCAACGUGAAAAAACCUUACCUGCCCCAGACAUGUCCGGAAUCCCGAAGAUCUUGGGAGUGCUCGCAAGAGAACCGGAACACAGGUACGUAUGGCCGUCGUCAGCUCGUGUCGAGAUGUUGGGUUAAGUCCCGGCAAACGAGCGCAACCCUUGUCAUUAGUUGCUACGAAAGGGCACUCUAAUGAGACUGCCGGUGACAAACCGGAGGAAGGUGGGGAUGACGUCAAGUCUCAUGGCCCUUAUGGGUAGGGCUUCACACGUCAUACAAUGGUCGGGACAGAGGUCGCCAACCCGCGAGGGGGGAGCGCCAAUCCAGAUAAACCUGAUCGUAGUCCGGAUCGCAGUUCGCACCCACUGAGGCAGCCGGAAUCGCCAGUGCAAUCGCGGAUCAGCAUGUCGCGGUGAAUACGUUCCUGGUCUUGCGGGCACACUGCCCGUCACACCAUGGGAGUGGGUUUUACCAGGCGUAGUUAGCCCAAUCCGCAAGGAGGGCGAUUACCACGGUAGGAUUCAUGACUGGGGUGAAGUCGCAUUGAAGGUGCA
rnacentral:rRNA from 1 species